rnacentral:rRNA from 1 species
GAGAUAACUCCUACGGGAGGCAGCAGUGGGGAAUUUUGGACAAUGGGGGCAACCCUGAUCCAGCAAUGCCGCGUGAGUGAUGAAGGCCUUAGGGUUGUAAAGCUCUUUUACCCGGGAUGAUAAUGACAGUACCGGGAGAAUAAGCCCCGGCUAACUCCGUGCCAGCAGCCGCGGUAAUACGGAGGGGGCUAGCGUUGUUCGGAAUUACUGGGCGUAAAGCGCGCGUAGGCGGCUUUGUAAGUCAGAGGUGAAAGCCUGGAGCUCAACUCCAGAACUGCCUUUGAGACUGCAUCGCUUGAAUCCGGGAGAGGUGAGUGGAAUUCCGAGUGUAGAGGUGAAAUUCGUAGAUAUUCGGAAGAACACCAGUGGCGAAGGCGGCUCACUGGACCGGUAUUGACGCUGAGGUGCGAAAGCGUGGGGAGCAAACAGGAUUAGAAACCCUUGUAGUCCUCCACU